GACGAACGCUGGCGGCGUGCCUAAUACAUGCCAGUAGAACGCUGAAGGAGGAGCUUGCUUCUCUGGAUGAGUUGCGAACGGGUGAGUAACGCGUAGGUAACCUGCCUGGUAGCGGGGGAUAACUAUUGGAAACGAUAGCUAAUACCGCAUAAGAGUAGAUGUUGCAUGACAUUUGCUUAAAAGUUGCAAUUGCAUCACUACAAGAUGGCCCUGCGUUGUAUUAGCUAGUUGGGGGGGUAACGGCUCACCAAGGCGACGAUACAGAGCCGACCUGAGAGGGUGAACGGCCACACUUGGAAUGGGACACGGCCCAGACCCCCAAGGGAGGCAGCAGUAGGGAAUCUUCGGCAAUGGACGGAAGUCUGACCGAGCAAAGCCGCGUGAGGGAAGAAGGUUUUCGGAUCGUAAAGCUCUGUUGUAAGAGAAGAAAGAGUGUGAGAGUGGAAAGUUCACACUGUGACGGUAUCUUACCAGAAAGGGACGGCUAACUACGUG
rnacentral:rRNA from 1 species